UACAGAGGGGGCAAGCGUUAUUCGGAAUUAUUGGGCGUAAAGGGCGCGUAGGCGGCUUUGCAAGUGACGGGUGAAAGCCCUCGGCUUAACCGAGGAACUGCCUGUCAGACUGUGAGGCUUGAGACCGGGAGAGGUGAGUGGAAUUCCCAGUGUAGCGGUGAAAUGCGUAGAUAUUGGGGAGGAACACCAGUGGCGAAGGCGGCUCACUGGACCGGAACUGACGCUGAGGCGCGAAAGCGUGGGGAGCAAACGGG
rnacentral:rRNA from 1 species